GUCCUGGUUGUCCCCCAACAGUGUCCCAUGCCCAUAGCAGUGCUGGUGGUGAUAGUGUCCUGCUACCUGGUCCUAGCACCUAUCAUAGACAAGCCAGAGCUGGAGUAUCUCUACUGUACCAUCUUCAUCCUCAGCGGUCUGCUGCUCUACUUCCCCUUCGUACACCGCAAGUUCAGCUGGACACGCAGGGUCAUGAGGCCAAUCACCAUGUACCUCCAGCUGCUGAUGGAGGUCGUUCCUCCUGAGAACAACGAAUAGAGGAAGAUAAUAAACAGCCUGAACUGACUAAUGUGGACAAAUGUCUUUUACUGCGUCCCAAAUGGUACCCUAUUCCCUCUGUGGUGCACUAUAGGCCCCAGUCAAAAGUAGUGCACUACAUAGGGAAUAGGGUGCCAUUUGAGACACAGGCCUUAGAAAACACAGACUGUCUCAUAAUGAAGGUACUGUCUCAUAAUGAAGGUACUGUACUGUCUCAUAAUGAAGGUACUGUCUCAUAAUGAAGGUCCUGUACUGUCUCAUAAUGAAGGUACUGUCUCAUAAUGAAGGUACUGUCUCAUAAUGAAGGUACUGUACUGUCUCAUAAUGAGGUACUGCUACUGUCUCAUAAUGAAGGUACUGUCUCAUAAUGAAGGUAAUGUCUCAUAAUGAAGGUAAUGUCUCAUAAUGAAGGUUAUGUACUGUGUCAUAAUGCUGGAAAUGCUGGAAUCCUGUCUGUUUCUCUCCCUUGAGACUAUCGCCAAUGGUUUACAUAAUGCCCCUCUGUGUUUAAACCUGCUUAGGAGGACAUAUUUGCUUUAGACACUAUAUAUUGAAGACACAGAGGCUCGCUUGUCAAGUUGCAGCAGCUGAUAAUGAAGGUACUGUAUCAAUGAGACUGGCUCUGCUUGGCAGGUUGCAGCAGCGAUAAUGAAGGUACUGUAUCAUAAUGAGACAGUGGCUCUGCUUGCAGUUGCAGCAGCUGAUAAUGAGGUACUGUAUCAUAAUGAGACAGUGCUCUGCUUGGCAGGUUGGCAGCAGCCGUCUACAUGAUCUGGAUCCCAAACUAAUUGACUGGAUACAGGAGGUCAAUGCCUGCGUCUCAAAUCACACCCUGUGGCCCUAGGGAAUGGGGCGCCAUUUGAAACGUUGACAAUAUGCUGUUCUUGUACAUGACUAGAGAGACAUAAGAGACCAAAAUUGUCAUUAUUUUUUUACUUUUAUUUGUCCUCGACAUUGUUUAAAAUCCCUCAUGUU